AGAGUUUGAUCAUGGCUCAGAUUGAACGCUGGCGGCAGGCCUAACACAUGCAAGUCGAGCGGCAGCACGGGUACUUGUACCUGGUGGCGAGCGGCGGACGGGUGAGUAAUGCCUAGGAAUCUGCCUGGUAGUGGGGGAUAACGCUCGGAAACGGACGCUAAUACCGCAUACGUCCUACGGGAGAAAGCAGGGGGACCUUCGGGCCUUGCGCUAUCAGAUGAGCCUAGGUCGGAUUAGCUAGUUGGUGAGGUAAUGGCUCACCAAGGCGACGAUCCGUAACUGGUCUGAGAGGAUGAUCAGUCACACUGGAACUGAGACACGGUCCAGACUCCUACGGGAGGCAGCAGUGGGGAAUAUUGGACAAUGGGCGAAAGCCUGAUCCAGCCAUGCCGCGUGUGUGAAGAAGGUCUUCGGAUUGUAAAGCACUUUAAGUUGGGAGGAAGGGCAUUUACCUAAUACGUAAGUGUUUUGACGUUACCGACAGAAUAAGCACCGGCUAACUCUGUGCCAGCAGCCGCGGUAAUACAGAGGGUGCAAGCGUUAAUCGGAAUUACUGGGCGUAAAGCGCGCGGUAGGUGGUUUGUUAAGUUGGAUGUGAAAUCCCCGGGCUCAACCUGGGAACUGCAUUCAAAACUGACAAGCUAGAGUAUGGUAGAGGUUGGUGGAAUUUCCUGUGUAGCGGUGAAAUGCGUAGAUAUGGGAAGGAACACCAGUGGCGAAGGCGACCACCUGGACUGAUACUGACACUGAGGUGCGAAAGCGUGGGGAGCAAACAGGAUUAGAUACCCUGGUAGUCCACGCCGUAAACGAUGUCAACUAGCCGUUGGGAGCCUUGAGCUCUUAGUGGCGCAGCUAACGCAUUAAGUUGACCGCCUGGGGAGUACGGCCGCAAGGUUAAAACUCAAAGGAAUUGACGG
rnacentral:rRNA from 1 species